CUAGCCAUUCGAAAUCCUGAGGUGUAUGUUGGCUGUAGCAUAUUUAUUGUAGGAACUAGGUUGCACCAAGAUGGGAUCUAUCAUCCUCGAUAGAUGAGAGGAGUAGUCCUAUGAUAAUUGAAAGAUCGAGUCCUUAAGCCCAUGGCCAUGGCAGAGUGAAAUAGUGGAAAAGACUUUUUCAUUAAGGUUUCAUAUCGGACUCGGAUCGAUCGAUUAACUCAUAUGACUGAUGUUGGGUUUGACAAGCUCACCUUAAUCCUAAUUCAGUCAAAACUCAUGAUAGAGGAACUCAAUCACACA
rnacentral:lncRNA from 1 species